rfam:Sediminispirochaeta smaragdinae DSM 11293 chromosome, complete genome.
GGUCCCUUCGUCUAUCGGCUAGGACGGAAGAUUCUCAGUCUUCAGAGAGGGGUUCGAUUCCCCUAGGGACUA